AUCCAAAAUCGCCCCCAUCAAAUAUUUUCUCCCUAAGUCGAUCGAUUGUAAAUGAAUACGCAUGCUAGAUUUCAGAUCUAUUCUUCUUCUUUUGAUUCCAAACCCUAAAUUGACCAAAACUUGUCUUAAGGAUGUUACCAGAAAUGAAUACCUUUUCUUAUUGAGUUUGAAUAACCUAAUUUCAGAAGAAGAUUGAGGUACACACACCUAUAAGAUUCAUAGAAGAAUCAGGUUAAUUGCUUCCAUGCACUGCGGAGGAUCGAGCCUUUUCAAGCAAGGACUUUCUUCGUUUUUUAAUAACAAUUACCAACAUACUUCUACGAUUAUACAAAAGUUCAAAAUCUGUUGUCAAGUCAUGGAGUAUUACCAUUGUCUCUUUUCUAGGUGAGACUAAUCACAUGGUUUACUACCUGAGGCAUGCAUUCACGAUGAAGUGUUACUCUCAGCUUUCCUCAACUAGUUAUCAACAGUCUUGCCUGGUCUAUUACCAAAUUUGUCCGUUUCCAUUUGUGAGAUGCAAGAAAAAUUCAGGUGGUUCAAUUGCAGCAAAGAAAAUGUGGAGAGUAUAUUGUACUCUAGUCGUAGGUAUUCCCAUCUUAUCAUUCCAGCAUCCCUGGCAACAAUAUCAAAUUGGUUCCUUAGAUAGCACAAAGAAAAUAAGUACCAUAGGAUCUCAACUCAGAUGCGGUGUUUGGCUUCAACCAAUUCAACCUUGAUUUCUCAAGAUUCAGUACAUGCGUUAUUUGCAACGGGUUCAUCUAGAACUCAGCAUCCCUGCCAAGGAACAAGAUUUAUUGUUAGAGCUGAAAGUUUGAGUAUGGGUUUACUUUUUACUCUUCCUUUGGGCCAGAGCACUUCUCCAAAAGAAUAUCGAUAAUGCUAAAGCAAGCAUGCUUAUUUACAAUUCUUAAGGGACCUGGUGACGGUAAAACAGGUCACUAUCACUCUGCUGUACAACUGGGAUGUUUACCAGUGCAGGAUUAAACAUGUUACUACCAUUGCUGUCAGAGACUCGCGAAGUUUUCUAUCGCUUAACCUUUACGUAGUUACCCUAGUCAAAGGUCUGGUAUGAUUGCACACUGGGAACUUUUUACACAUAAUGAAAUCGAAGUUGUCUUAUGUAAAUGGAAGGAACUACAUAAGGGAGUUUAGAGGACCCCAAAGUCAAGCUCAGCAAGAUUUCCGUCUUAAGUAUCAUUGUUGGUCUUCCGUUGAUGUGAUUCAACCACUGAAGUUUGAAAUAUUUGAAUUUGAAUCUGGAUUUUAACAUACUUAUUUCACAUCAUUGGGGUAUAGCUUUCCUACUGACUUGGCAAUCUUCAGAAGAAGAAAAUGGAAGCUUUAUUUUAGGUGGUGCUGGACUAAAGAAAAGUGGAAGGAUCGGAACAAGAUGCUCUAGUAAAGGUGCUAUUAUUAAGGAAAUCAAGAAGAUAGUUGGAUAAGCAUAAUAUGAUUUGAGUGAACAAGUUGUAGGUAAUUUCUUAAAUUCUUAAAUUCAAGUAUAGAAGUUAUGAACUUUUAGGUUUCCAUAUGGCUCUAACCUAAGAAAUGAAUAAUCAAUGUUGACUCUCAUUUCCUGACGUGUAAGAUCACCGAAAUAUACUUGCGCAAAUAAAACUCUUCGCUGUAGCGGUCGUAGCUGAGGAAGAGCCAUCUCUACCGGUGCUGGAGCGGGAGCCUCCGAUUCUGGUGAAGGAUGGGAGGAGCGUCCGUUUAUGGUAGUCAUAUCAAUAAAUGGGGGUUGGGAAGGUGUAGAGGUAGUGUUUUACACCAGAAAUCACCUUUUUCAACUGAUCAGAUCUGUUGUCAACAAAGGAUCCUACCUGUCGGAAGACCUGUCGUGUUGUAAGGUAUCGAAAACCUUAAUCGGUGGUGAUCUACUGUCAAUAAUUAUCAAUUAGGAACUACGCAUUUUACUUGUCAAUAUUUUUUGACGGGCGUUACUUAUCCUUAACUCCAAAUUUAAUUUCCA